AGUAGUGAAGUAAAAAUUUUACAGUCAGUUUCGACCUGAAAGCUAGAGGUCCCUCCUUACUU
rnacentral:tRNA from 1 species